UGAGGAAUAUUGGGCAAUGCCCGCAAGGGUGACCCAGCAACGCCGCGUGGAGGAUGAAUGUCGUAAGAUUGUAAACUCCUGUUAGAGGGGAAGAAUAGUACCGGUUGGACCGGUAUAUGACUGUACCCUCAGAGAAAGCCCCGGCUAACUACGUGCCAGCAGCCGCGGUACUACGUAGGGGGCAAGCGUUGUCCGGCUUUACUGGGUGUAAAGGGCGCGCAGGCGGGAUAAAAAGUCAGUGGUGAAAUCCUACAGCUUAACUGUAGAACUGCCUUUGAUACUUUUAUUCUUGAGUUCGGGAGAGAGAGACGGAAUUCCAGGUGUAGUGGUGAAAUACGUAGAUAUCUGGAAGAACACCAGUUGCGAAGGCGGUCUCUUGGUCCGACACUGACGCUGAGGCGCGAAAGCGUGGGGAGCAAACA
rnacentral:rRNA from 1 species